GAUGAAGAACGUAGCAAAAUGCGAUAAGUAAUGUGAAUUGCAGAAUUCAGUGAAUCAUCGAAUCUUUGAACGCACAUUGCGCCCGCCAGUAUUCUGGCGGGCAUACCUGUUCGAGCGUCAUUUCAACCCUCAAGCACAGCUUGGUGUUGGGACUCGCGUUAAUUCGCGUUCCUCAAAUUGAUUGGCGGUCACGUCGAGCUUCCAUAGCGUAGUAGUAAAACCCUCGUUACUGGUAAUCGUCGCGGCCACGCCGUUAAACCCCAACUUCUGAAUGUUGACCUCGGAUCAGGUAGGAAUACCCGCUGAACUUAAGCAUAUCAAUAAGCGGAGGA
rnacentral:misc_RNA from 1 species